CGCCGGCUGCCUGAGGAAGCCGGCCCUGCGCUUGGCUAAGGCUUCCUGGCCGAGAGUGGUGAGGCGGAGGCCGGGGAGGCGGGAGGCCCGCGGGGCCGGGGCGGGAGGCGAAGGUAAGGGAGGCGGCGAGGCAUGGGCAGGCAGGGCGCGCAGUGGGAGGAAGGCCGGCGUGGGUCCCGGAGCACCGCCUGAGGGAUGGCGAAGGCCCGGGACUCUGCGGACUCUGCGGCCGAGGCUCGGCCGGGGAGCGGGGAAGACCUGAUGGGAACCGGCUGGCUUCUGAGCGCCCGCCGGCCCUGUGUGGCGAGACGGACGGAAGCCGGCUGGGCCAUCUCCUGCACAGGCUUCCUUGACACAAUGGAAGUUCUCUUGCCUCUCUGUUUUCCUAAUGCCCGAACUUAUUUCGGAGGUGGACCAUGUCAUCUCUUCCUCUGAGCGGGUGAGCGCAAGUCUCAGGGUUGCAGCUUUAGUCUGGAAAAGAAAGUUCUGACCCACAGAAACCAUUCCAAGCUUGAGUGUGUCCAUCAGCUUAAAUGCUGCUGUCUGCUGUUUGAGGCUUAAAAAAAAAAAAAGAAAAGAAAAAAGAAAA
rnacentral:lncRNA from 1 species